rnacentral:rRNA from 1 species
AACGAACGCUGGCGGCAUGCCUAAUACAUGCAAGUCGAACGAGAUCUUCGGAUCUAGUGGCGCACGGGUGCGUAACGCGUGGGAAUCUGCCCUUGGGUUCGGAAUAACAGCGGGAAACUGCUGCUAAUACCGGAUGAUGACGUAAGUCCAAAGAUUUAGCGCCCAGGGAUGAGCCCGCGUAGGAUUAGGUAGUUGGUGGGGUAAAGGCCUACCAAGCCUACGAUCCUUAGCUGGUCUGAGAGGAUGAUCAGCCACACUGGGACUGAGACACGGCCCAGACUCCUACGGGAGGCAGCAGUAGGGAAUAUUGGACAAUGCGGGCAAGCCUGAUCCAGCAAUGCCGCGUGAGUGAUGAAGGCCUUAGGGUUGUAAAGCUCUUUUACCCGGGAUGAUAAUGACAGUACCGGGAGAAUAAGCCCCGGCUAACUCCGUGCCAGCCGCCGCAGUAACAC